GGAUUUAAUUUAAGGUCUGGUCUGCUCAAUGAUUAAUUAAAUUGCCGCAGUAUUUUGACUGUGCAAAGGUAGCAUAAUAAUUAGUUUCUUGAUUAGAAACUGGAAUGAAUGAUUGGACGAGAAAAUUACUGUCUCUUAUAGAUUGUUUAUUGAAUUUUAUUUUUAAGUUAAAAAGCUUAAAUUUUAAUAAAAGACGAGAAGACCCUAUAGAGUUUAAUAUCUAAUGUUUAUAAGAUUUUGGAAAAUUUUUUAAAUUUUAAAUAUUUAGUUGGGGUGACUUAUGGAUUAAAAUAAUUCCUUAAUUAUUAAAUUGUUGAUAAAUAAUUAAUAAAUCUAGUUUUUUAAAUUUAAAAUUAAUUACCUUAGGGAUAACAGCGUAAUUUUUCUUUAAAGUUCUUAUUGAAAGAAGAUUUUGCGACCUCGAUGUUGGAUUAAAAUUAAUUUUUGGUGCAGUAACUUAAAAAUUAGGUCUGUUCGACCUUUAAAAUUUUACAUGAUCUGAGUUUAAACCGGUGUAAGCCAGGUUGGAUUCUAUCUUUAGUUUAAGAAUAUAUUUUAGUACGAAAGGACCGGGUAUAUAUUAUAUUAUAAUUA
rnacentral:rRNA from 1 species